GAUGAACGCUGGCGGCGUGCCUAAUACAUGCAAGUCGAGCGAACGGACGAGAAGCUUGCUUCUCUGAUGUUAGCGGCGGACGGGUGAGUAACACGUGGAUAACCUACCUAUAAGACUGGGAUAACUUCGGGAAACCGGAGCUAAUACCGGAUAAUAUUUUGAACCGCAUGGUUCAAAAGUGAAAGACGGUCUUGCUGUCACUUAUAGAUGGAUCCGCGCUGCAUUAGCUAGUUGGUAAGGUAACGGCUUACCAAGGCAACGAUGCAUAGCCGACCUGAGAGGGUGAUCGGCCACACUGGAACUGAGACACGGUCCAGACUCCUACGGGAGGCAGCAGUAGGGAAUCUUCCGCAGAGGGCGAAAGCCUGACGGAGCAACGCCGCGUGAGUGAUGAAGGUCUUCGGAUCGUAAAACUCUGUUAUUAGGGAAGAACAUAUGUGUAAGUAACUGUGCACAUCUUGACGGUACCUAAUCAGGAAGCCACGGCUAACUACGU
rnacentral:rRNA from 1 species